CAGAGAAUCAAGCAUGCAGCUCUGAGAAGGGCCUGCCGGAGGAGUGGGAAACUCAUCAAAAUUAAGAGCCUUUGAAUAAGCAGGAUGAGCACAAGGUGGGGGAGGGGCGGGGAGCCCUAGGUAAGGGCUCCAGGAAUGACUUCACUGCAAAUGUUAAGUGACCCAAGAAGACAACUGUCCCCCCGCUGCUCUCAGAGGAAGCUGUGAGCCUGGGUGGAUACGGACGGCAGGGGACACAGUUUGCCUCUCAUUGGGCAAUUUCCACCAGUGGAGUUUCAAUUCCUGGGUCGUGGACUCUCGUCUCCUGGUGAAGUGCAACAUCAUUCCUCUUGUCGCCGGUGCGUUGUGCCUGCAUCUUUGCUCCAGCUAAGCCAGCUCCUCUAGGCCUCUGGCUGCCCACCGCAGUGGGCUCUGGACUGGACUCUGGACCAUGCGUUGCUGGGUUUGCUGCUGUGAUGAUGGAGGUGCUGCUUUUGUCUGUCUGAUGUUUAUACUUUGUGGGUGUGGAGUGUGCUAGGAACAUCUCAUAUGUGCCAGGAACUGGCUCUUUGGAAAAGUCAGUCCAGGUUAGAAACAUAGACUGUGGCCGGGCAUAGUGGCUCACGCCUAUAAUCCCAGCACUUUGGGAAGCCAAGGUGGGCAGAUCUCUUGACUUGAGGUCAGGAGUUCGAGACCGGCCUGGCCAACAUUGUGAAACCCCAUCUCUACUAAAAAUACAAAAAUUAGCCAGGCAUGGUGGUGCAUGCCUGUAGUUCCAGCUAUCCGGGAGGCUGAGGCACGGGAAUUGCUUGAACCCUGGAGACAGAGGUUGCAGUGAGCCAAGAUCACGCCACUGCACUCCAGGACUGUAUCAAGUUCACUCCAAAAGUGGAGAAGAGCCAUCUGGACUGCAACUGCCACCAAGGGAAGCCACACUUCAGCCAAGUGGGGCCCUCCACCUAAGGCCGAGCAUGAACCGCAUCACACGGCCACCCCCAGUUGCAACAGAGACUGGGAAGGUGGAGUAUCAGAUGGAAAUCCUAUUGUCAGGACCCAGGCUGAGCAUGCUGCCUCCCCACACGAAACCAGACUUCUGUUAGCAAGAAAGAUACAAGAUCGCCGGCCACUAUGGUUAUUGACAUGUUGUGCUGUCAUCUUCCAAAAACUGACGAGGGCCAGGUGCGGUGGCACACACCUGUAAUCCCAACAUCCUGGAGGCUGAGGCAAGAGGAUCACUUGAGGCCAGGACUUUGAGACUAGCUUGGGCAACAUAGCGAGACCCCCAUCUCUACAAAAAAUAAAAAUAAAAAUUUUAAUAAAAAAAAUAGCCGA
rnacentral:lncRNA from 1 species